AGCAGCGGCGAGCGAGCGGGAAGAGCUCAAAUUUAUAAUCUGGCACCUUCGGUGUCCGAGUUGUAAUCUCUAGAAAUGUUUUCCGCGUUGGACCGCACACAAGUCUGUUGGAAUACAGCGGCAUAGUGGUGAGACCCCCGUAUAUGGUGCGGACGCCCAGCGCUUUGUGAUACAUUUUCGAAGAGUCGAGUUGUUUGGGAAUGCAGCUCAAAUUGGGUGGUAAAUUCCAUCUAAAGCUAAAUAUUGGCGAGAGACCGAUAGCGAACAAGUACCGUGAGGGAAAGAUGAAAAGCACUUUGGAAAGAGAGUUAACAGUACGUGAAAUUGUUGGAAGGGAAACGCUUGAAGUCAGACUUGCUUGCCGAGCAAUCGGUUUGCAGGCCAGCAUCAGUUUUCCGGGAUGGAUAAUGGUAGAGAGAAGGUAGCAGUUUCGGCUGUGUUAUAGCUCUCUGCUGGAUACAUCUUGGGGGACUGAGGAACGCAGUGUGCCUUUUGGCGGGGGUUUCGACCUCUUCACACUUAGGAUGCUGGUGGAAUGGCUUUAAACGACCCGUCUUGAA
rnacentral:rRNA from 1 species